rnacentral:rRNA from 1 species
CUACGGAAGGUCCGGGCGUUAUCCGGAUUUAUUGGGUUUAAAGGGAGCGCAGGCGGAGAUGCAAGCGUGACGUCAAAUUUCGGGGCUCAACCCCGUCUCGCGUCGCGAACUGCGUCCCUUGGUUGCGGGAAGGGGAGGCGGAACUCGUGGUGUAGCGGUGAAAUGCAUAGAUAUCACGAAGAACUCCGAUCGCGAAGGCAGCCUUCCGGCCCGUCAACGACGCUCAUGCUCGAAGGUGCGGGUAUCAAACAGGAUUAGAUACCCUGGUAGUCCGCACAGUAAACGAUGGACACCCGCGGUUUGGCCUGUAUGGCUGAGCCGCCAAGCGAAAGCGUUAAGUGUCCCACCUGGGGAGUACGCCGGCAACGGUGAAACUCAAAGGAAUUGACGGGG